rnacentral:tRNA from 1 species
GGGGCAUUAGCUCAGUUGGGAGAGUGCUUGUCUGGCAGACAAGAGGUCACCGGUUCAAGCCCGGUAUGCUCCA